GCCUUCACUCACCUGACCAUAAACCCAAACCACCUGAGACUUCUGGGAGAAAUGCCACCCAACUUCAAGAUCCUGCUGCUCGUUUCUGCAUUGUUACACCCAAAAAAAUUUAAUGAGCUCAACAAAACAAAUCUGAUGUUUUACGGUACAUGCUCUAUAGCUUGUUUUGUUGUUGUUUUUGUUUUGUUUUUUGCACUUUUCUGUGAUCUGCACUUCUGUUCAAACGUUUGGGUUUGGUAAGAUUUUUAAUGUGUCUGAAAGAAGUCUCUGCUGUUCACCAAGACUGCAUUUAUUUGAUUAAAAAUACAGUAAAAAUAUGAAAUAUUAUUACAGCUUAAAAUACAUUUCUAUGUGAAUCUCUGUUAAACUGUAAUUCAGUGUCACAUGAUCUUCAGAAAUCAUUCUAAUAUGCUGAUUUACUGCUCAAGAAACAUUUCUGAUUAUUAUCAAUGUUGAACACAAUUUUUGUGGAAAUUUUAUUUCAGUUCAAAAGAACAGCAUGUAUUUGAAAUAGAAUUUUUUUGUAACAUUAUAAAUGUCUUUACUGUCACUUUUGAUCAAUUUAAUGCAUCCUUGAUGGAUAAAAGUAUUAAUUUCUUCCAAAUGUCUCACUGACCCUAACUUGAGAACAAUAGUGUAUAUAUAACUGUGUUUUGUCAGUGCAUGUGUUCUGUGCUCAUGUUUAAUGACGCGUGUGUCUGUAGGUGGUCUGAUCUGCUCUAAGGUGGUCAAGGCCUCCGUUCAUCGCUCAGAUCUGCUGCAGCUCCUCAAACUCCUGCAAGACUUCAAAGAUCUGAACACAGAGACGUGUCUGAAAGAGUCUCGCCGCUGCGGACAGAACCCAGCACAGGACAGUAAAGAUGUACAGCUGGAUGAUUGUUUCAGCGCUCUGCUUGAGGAGAUGGAGAACUACCUCAAUCCUGUUCUCUCACAGUUUGACUUUUCAUGCUUUAGCGUUCGCUCUCCGUGCAUCUCCACCACAUCGGCCCGAGCCAAAGACAAGGACGAGAAAACUGCUGAUAAACCUCUGCCGGAUGCUGGUGAUUGUGUGGUGAUUCUCGCUGACCGGACGCUGCUGGAGUUUCCGUUAGAAGCGCUGAGCGUCCUUCAGACGAAGGGCAUCGGCUCCGUCUCUCGAGAUUUCUCUCUGCAGGUUCUUCACACACGACUGCAGACGGAUGAAGCAGAUCAUUCUCCAAAAUCAGCGCAGAAGAUGCAAAAAACUCCACAGAUUCCCUCUAGGCCUGGUAAUGACAAAUCAUGCUUCAGUCAAACACUCCACUAUAUUCAUGUUCAUCUGAAUCGCAUCUGAUUAUAUCUCACUCAUUAAUUAGUAAAUCCAUGAGAGUAUGUAGUGUGUAGCUCAUAACUUUCACAAACACAAAAUGACACUUCGUUUUCAGUGAAGAUUUAGCAUUUCAAAGCUUCUUUUUCUCAAAUGUUUUGCUUGAAAAGUGUGUUUGAACUGAUAUUUUGUGUCAGAAAAAAUCAUGUUUUCAAUAUAAUAACUACAGUACAAUGAACAGUAAAGAUCCUGAACUGACCUUGACUGAAUGAUUCUUCAUAUUCUCAUGUCCCUGAACGCAGGAAAGAUGAAGAAGGGAAAUGACGGCAGAAAGCUAAACACAUCCAGAGCUAUUUCUGUCAAGAGUUUAAUCAGCUUCAUUCAAUAAGAAAUGCUCUGUCAGGAUUUAUAACCUGUAAUCCCGUUGCAUUCGGGACAUGUUUUACAUUUUUAUUUGCGUAAUUAAUUGAUUCAUUUUUAACUCUCGCUCGGCUUCUGCGUGUAAUCGACAAAUUAAAAUCUAAACGGGCCGACACUGGAAGGCUUUCUGAGCGCUCUCUCCCAUCGAGGGCUGACGGGAUUAAAGCAGAGCACACUUUAGGACUGUGAGACACACUUCACGCGUCUGAAUCUCACUGCAAACACACCUGACAAAACUAGUACAAACUAAACACUUGAUUCAGCCAAUUAUCUGGAGCAUUGGAGGGUCGGGUCAG
rnacentral:lncRNA from 1 species